AAAUCAUUAGCACCCUCUUCGUCCAUCGGUCCGUGGUCCGUGUCGUAUAUCCCUCAAAGCGCACUCCGUGGCCGGCGAUCUCCACCUCUCCCCCAGUUCGUGCGCCGUUGGGCACCCUGACUGCCACCACCGGCCCGCCCACCCACACGCGUUCGUGCUCCACGCGCUAUCUUCCCCGCCCACCUCCUAGGCCAGCCAUGGAGAUCCAUCUCCCGCCGUUGCAACAAGCACUGCCGCUCGCCGUGGAGCAUGGUAGACGAGGUUGUGGCUGCGCUCUCCGCCCCAUCGUCCUCUACUGCAGCUUCCGCAGUGGACACCCUCCUCCACCCGCCUCCCACGCUCCAGGACCCGUGCCCCUCCCACGCCGCCCUCACCCGCCUGGUUCCCUACAUGCUACCACCAGUCCCAUCCUUCCUCGACCGCCUGGCCCGCGUCCUCCACCAAUCCCGUCCUCCCUCUCGAGCCUCCCGCCAUCAUGAUUCGAUGUAAUCCUUCCGCCCAUCCUCCUGAUUCGCGCCGCCGUCAUGCCUCUGCAGCUCGGAUCUCGCAGGGUGGUCUGAUUCUAGGAGACGACUGAGGAGGACAGGCACAAUUCCGGGCAUCUCGGCGCUGCUUGGACUGAAUAUCUCCACUCCCCGCUCCAGAUCUUCUCCACGACAGUAUGAUGAGGUGAAGUGGAUUGCUCUUCAAGUGUUUGAUUUAAUGUCUCUGCUUUGUAUUUGUUGUCCUGCGUGAACAUUGUGCGGUGUUGACUGUUGAGGCUUUUAUAAUUUCUAGGGAGAUGGUCCCAAUAGUGUUUUUGAUUCAUGUGAAGUAGAAGAACCUUGGGGCUGUACAUGGGAGAGUGGAUCAGGUGAGAUACGACCUGGGUACAUGUUACCGAACAGCCAUAGUCAAACAAUAUAAAAAUCAUGGGUACAUGUGAGACACCUGAAGUUGUUGAACAUUGUAUACCUGCAUAUAUCCCGUAGUGCUGAGUCUCAAUUUAUCUGCAAAUUGGAGCAUAUCAAAACUGUAAAAGUAACACAUGCAAGAGCGUCUGUUGGAAGAAAGAUGAACCUCUUAACAUUCAGAGUAAUAUGGGAGCAAGGCAUAUUCAAAAUGUGUAGUAAAUAACUGAAAAUUAAGGCAUAGCAAGAAUUUCAGUCUCGUCUUGGAGUGGAAAUAUGCAGUAAUAUUCCAUUAUUGCGGAUGAAGAUAUAUAACCCUCUUACCCUCCUAUUUUCAACUACUAUCCAGGUUCUCCCUUCAGAUAUAUGGGCGUGCUUUAAAAGCACUCAAGGUGUAGUCCACUAUGCCAAUCUUUACAAAAUAGUAGCUCGCUUUGGAUUUCUAGAUAAAUACAAUUAUCUCAAUGAAAUAAUAUAUGAAAUUUUUUAUAGACUACAUCCUUUCAAAAGAAAACACAACAUGUUGACAGUUACACAGUAAAGCAAGCAAACAGUUGGGCCACAAUAUAAUUUUUGACUGAAUGGCUUGUGUAUUGUUUGGUCACCAACAGGAAACAUAUAACCAAUUUUUUUGCGGGGCAAAUUAUUUGGGUCUGCACAUCGAAGUUUUUUUCUAAGAGAAAAUCUCUGUAGGCCUCCAAGGAUUCAAGCUGCAGAUAAUGCGUUGGUUUAUGACUUCAUCUUCUUAUCCAGCAUUCAUUCGCAGACUAGAGCCAAAUGUGAUCUUGGAGACUCGUUCCCUACUUGAACAACAAUAAUCACUAUACCUGGGUCAGGUAACAAGGUAACAGGAAGAAUGCAAACAGAAGAUACUUAGUCCAAUGAAACAUGCCACACGUAUGACAUUGGUCAAUCGGAUCAUCUCAUGUAUAUUGUAAAGUUCAGAAGCAGAACAAAAUGGUAGAACAAGAAAUGCAAAUGGUACAUGUGUUUCUGAUGCUUAGCUCAUUUAGCUUCUUAUGAUGUUCUGAUCUGAGUACAGUUGGUCUUUUUUAGAUCGAUGAGCUUCUGAAUGAUUCUGAUUUUUUUCUUGAGAUAUCAGAUGCUAUGGUUGACAUUGACAGUGUUUUUCUGCUGGAGAACUUGGUGCAGGAUUAAUAACAUAACCAUUAGAACCUCAGGAUUUGAGGUGAUGUUUUGUUUUCCAGUUUCUUAUGGAGCCAUAUUGUUCAUUGGCAAUGUUAUUUAUUGUUCAUCAUCAUUAGUCUUGACCUUCAAAUUGUCCAUCUCACCUUAAAUGUCUACUGCAGUGUUAUCAUAUAUUGCAGGAUUUUGAAUUUGCAACGCCUUUAUUUUCUUGUGUCUCACUCAUCCUUUUGCUCCUGAUAGUAGAUUAAAUAGAAAAGGUAAAAAGGUGCAAAAGAUUGGAUCAAAUAAAAUAAUUCAGAGUGUCUCCAAAUUAAUGUGUGUUUUUAUAUUUUCCUAAUGCGGAUUCUCUCAGCUUAUGCUCAACUGCAGAAAAGUCCUUGCCAUUUCUAUUCAAGAGGUAUAUGCAAACCAGUACUGAUCAUGCAAGAAAAUAUUGUGGGACAGAGCUUGGACUAGCGAUUUGCAAGCAAUUGGUGGAGUUGAUGGGUGGUACUCUAACUGUGGUUAGCAACGAGAAUGAAGGAUUAACAUUUGCAUUCAAGAUACCUUGCAAGCUUACUGUAAAAGAGGUGCACAUUGAUGAUCCUGAUGAUGUGUCCAGUUCUCAUUAUGAUUUUACUGUCGGUGAUAUAGAAGGUUCUUACUGUAAAUGUUAGGAGAAUAGAUGACGAGCAAGAUGAUGAUUUAAUGGUCUUUGAACUAAAUAGUCAAGUUGAAUGGAUUUACUGUUCAUGGGGCGGCAGGACAUCGGUUUCAGGGGCAGGCAUUCAGGAGGGAAGGAAAGCAUGCAAAGCUUUUGAAGGAAAAUCACUUAACAAGAAAUCCAAGUGUUCUCCAAGUAGCAGUAAGGCAAUAAUCCUCCUUGUCGAAGAUAACAAAGUCAAUAUAUUGGUGGGGAAAAUCAAUGCUGGUGCUGCUGGGCUAUGGAAUAGACAAGAAACAAUGGAGUCGAAGCAAUCCACGCCGCGUUCUGGGACGCGCGGGCGAAGCGGCGGCAGCAGAACGACCGGCGAAAGUGCCAGCCGCGACGAUGGUGCCGACUCUCAGAAGAGAUUAGUCGUCGAAACGACCGGCAAAUCCAGCGGCGGUGAAGGGGUGAGAGGCGUCGGAGGGAAGGAGCGACGAGAAAAAACACGCGAACCAACGGUUUUUAUGAAAAUAGUCGCUGACAUGUGGAAGCUCGCAUCGCUUUUCGUUGUGUUCGGCGUGCCCGGAGCGUCCCCUGUGAGGCGGGACAGCUUCGGGGCGCCGGACACCGUAUCGGGCGCGCCGAACAAAAAGCGGCUUUGGAGGACACGCCUCAAAUCCCUUUGGGGGACGAGUACCAGUGCAUUACUUGCCCAGACAAAUGUACCACGGCGGCGAGAUACCAGUACAUUACUUGCCCAGACAAAUGUACUCCUUAGCUGCGUCAAUUAAUUUGGGCGAGUAUACAAUUUUGACAUAUGGAACCUUUUUAAUAAGAUGACCUAUGUUGCUCAACAACCUCAGUCGUGUAUGACGUAUGCGUGCAAAA